AACAUUAUAAAGAAACCUUAGAGAGCUGAGAAAACAACACUGGAGCAGAGGGAGAAGCAACAUGGGAGAGCUUUGUGUCCGCUCUGUGCUGGUGACUGGGGCCAACAGGGGCCUCGGCCUGGGGCUCGUCCAGCAUCUGCUGGGGUUGCCAAAUCCUCCACAGUGGGUGUUUGCAACCUGUUGGGACCCCAAGGGACAGCGAGCAAAGGAGUUACAGAAUUUGGCCUCCAAACAUC